CUCUACUCCAUCUCCACCUCCUUGGGUUUGGGGAGUCACAUCUGGGAAGAGACAGUAGAUAAUGGAGCCAGAGAGCUGACUCACCACGUGGGAUGGCUGUGGGCAAGUUUCCCAGGUUGCACAAGCCACCGGGUUUUCUGAAACAGAUGGAAAGACCGCCUCUGCAGGCCGCUGGCUGACUUCAAGAUAGUCGUGCUGUAUCAAGUGGUGUGAGAAGGAAAGACCCAUAAGAGACUUUGUCAUCCAAGUUUCAGAUUCCCCUGGAUUCCUUAGCGAUAAGACAUGCAUGGCUCAUUACAUAUUCUAUUUAUGAAAUUUCUACGGGCAAAGACUCGAAUGCCCUUUAACUGGGUGCGCACAUGGGCAUCGCAUAGUUUUCCAGAGUAACCCAAGAUACUGGGGUGGAGAGAAAAAUGGAACCAGAAGACAAGCCAGCUUCUACCAAAGCCACCCAGCAGUCAGCCAGCCCAGACUCUCAAAUCUGGACCUGGGGGUCAGCCCUAGGUAGACAGGCAAGCCAUCUUUCAAAGGCUC
rnacentral:lncRNA from 1 species